UACGUAGGGCGCAAGCGUUGUCCGGAAUUACUGGGCGUAAAGCGUGCGCAGGCGGCGCAACAAGUCACUUGUGAAAUCUCCGGGCUUAACCCGGAGCGGUCAAGUGAUACUGUCGUGCUAGAGUGCGGAAGGGGCUACUGGAAUUCCUGGUGUAGCGGUGAAAUGCGCAGAUAUCAGGAGGAACACCGAUGGCGAAGGCAGGUCUCUGGGCAUUAACUGACGUGAGGAGCGAAAAGCAUGGGGGAGCGAAACAGG
rnacentral:rRNA from 1 species